rnacentral:rRNA from 1 species
UACGUAGGGGGCAAGCGUUGUCCGGAUUUAUUGGGCGUAAAGAGCGUGUAGGCGGCCAGAUAGGUCCGUUGUGAAAACUCGAGGCUCAACCUCGAGACGUCGGUUGAAACCAUCUGGCUAGAGUCCGGAAGAGGAGUGUGGAAUUCCCGGUGUAGCGGUGAAAUGCGCAGAUAUCGGGAAGAACACCCGUGGCGAAGGCGGCACUCUGGGACGGUACUGACGCUGAGACGCGAAAGCGUGGGGAGCGAACAGG